CGGACGGGUGAGUAACGCGUAGGAAUCUACCUGGUAGUGGGGGACAACAUGGUGAAAACCAUGCUAAUACCGCAUACGCCCUAAGGGGGAAAGCGGGGGAUCUUCGGACCUCGCGCUAUUGGAUGAGCCUGCGUAAGAUUAGCUAGUUGGUGGGGUAAAAGCUCACCAAGGCGACGAUCUUUAGCUGGUCUGAGAGGAUGAUCAGCCACACUGGAACUGAGACACGGUCCAG
rnacentral:rRNA from 1 species